rnacentral:RNase_P_RNA from 1 species
GGGAGGAAAGUCCGAACUCCAGAGGGCAGUGCGCCGGGUAACCCCCGGUCAGGGUGACCUGAAGGAAAGUGGCACAGAAAACAUACCGCCCGCCUUCGCACGCUACGCGUGCUUCGGCGAGGUAAGGGUGAAAAGGUGCGGUAAGAGCGCACCGCGUUCGCCGUAAGGCGGAUGGCAGGCUAAACCCCGCAUGGAGCAAGACCAAAUAGGGAGGCGUCAUCAGGACGGCCCGUCCGAAGCCUCCGGGUAGGUCGCUGGACCCCGCCAGCGAUGGCGGGGCUAGAGGAAUGGUCGUCGCCUGGUUCGGCGCUUUCGGGUGCGGGGCCGGGAACAGAAUUCGGCUUAUCGUCCCUCU